GUGACGUGAGGAGAGGGCCCAUUAGCAGACCCCUCCCUGGAGAUGUGACCGGAAGGUGCACGCGUCUCCUGCUCCCGCCCCGCCCCGGGCCUUGCGCUUCCUGGGGCCGCGGCGUGGCCAGCGUUCCUCCGCGGCAGGCCCCACCACUCUGAGGUUUCCUCAGCUGAGCCUGGUGACCAUGGACUGAAAUUUCUGAAACUGAAACCCUUUACCCAAACUGCCGCAGCGGACUUGCUCUCACUGCCCUCCAUCAGCACUCGGCCCCUUGCUCACUCACCGAUGUGGAGGUAAAGCGUACAUCUAGCACUCUGGCUAGCAAGGGAGACACGAGCUUGCGCAGGAGGCGAGAGGACGUAACCCCUGGAAGGUUCCCUCUCUCAUUUUUCACAUUUGAAAGCAAUGGAGAGGUCCGAGAGAAUGGCUCGCCCCUGCUGUGCGAAGGCGCGGCUCGUGUCCUCCACGCUGACCUGCUCUUCGGGGCUCCGGAGCUCUGCUUUGCACAGACUACUGGCAUCUGCUCGCCUUUUUAAGAAAGCCCUAGACUUCGACCGAGUAAUACAUUUUCAUGGCUGGCCUAUAUAUGUCAGCCAUGAACAAAAGCCUGGGAAAUCCUUUUAAUAAGAGGGAAAAAUCAAAUGUG